UUCUCAGAGAGGUGCAUAUUCUUAUAUGAUCCAUAUGAAUCAUCUGGUCAUUAUCUGUUUGUUCUUGCUCAGAUCAAGAAAUUAGUUGAGAUUAUCCCUUUGUGUCUCCAAGCUUAUGAUUUCUACAAUAAGAAAGGAAUUGAUCUUCAAAAUCAUUCAAUAUACAAAGACAAAGAUUACUCAGAUCUGUUUGAUGUGAUAUUU
rnacentral:lncRNA from 1 species